UGGGAUUAUUAUGGCAACAACUACGGAGAGAAUAGCUAUUAUGAACAACUAGAUCCUUGUCCGCGCUAUGCGCGGAUUCUAUAUUAUAAAAAAUUUAGCUUUUAAAUUAUUUUGAAUAUUUAAAAUUAUUUUGAAUUAAUUUAGAGAAAAAAAGCUUGGAAUGUUUAAAACAAUAAUGCAGGUGAUUAUAGAUGAAAUAUUUCAUUAUAACUUUUAAAGGGAAAUUUUCAUAUUUACCACCUGGUACAUUAUGCAUGUUUACCUUCAAUAAAAAAAUAUUUUUAAAAAAGAAAUUUUCCACGUUUACUACAUUAUUGGUAUCACUAUUCAUGUUUACUUUCACUAAAUAGACAUUUUCAAAAAUACCAUCUUCAUUAAGAAUCAAAAGACCUUGCUUUGUAUAUAUAAUAAAUAAUUAUUUAACUAAAUAAAAAAUUAUGUUUUUGAAUUAUACUUUUUCAAAUUUGAACUUUAUAAUAAAUUUUUUUUGAAUUUGUUUUUUAAUUAUCUUUUGGAAACUACUUUUUAAUUUUCUAAAUAAUUAUUCGUUUAUAUAUUUAUUCGAAUCCUAAAUUCCAUAUUCCGAAAACCUAGUAUUAGGAAUGUGGUAUUUUUGGUAUUUCCCUUUUUAAAACAUUGUUAUAUUGAUAGAUUUUGUAUUUCAAAAUUUUAUUUAUUUGUUUAAUAAUUUGAUGUUUUUAUUGUUUUAUUUUCAAUAUUUUCUCCAUGUAUCUUCUUUUCUCUUUCACUUUUAUCAGGUUAAUUAUAUUGACAACUAUUAUUUUAUUUUGAUAUAUUCAAUUUCCGUAUGUUUGACAUAAUCUUUGAUUCAUUUAAAAAUAUUUCAUGUUAUUUCUUCAAAAAUUUAGCAUAGAUAUCAACUAAUUUUAGAUGGUAUUUUCCUUUUCUAAUUUAUUUUUACAUUGAUUUUUUCUUUUUGAUAAAUAUGAUUAUUUUUAAGUUGUGCAUUCCUUAAGACAUGUUUAAAAAAAAACUAUUAGCUAAACAUUUUCAUGUUUCUUUUUCAAAGAGCUUCCAUAUCAAGUUAAAUUUCUUAUUGAUGUUUUUUAUUUGUUAUUUUUUCUAAUUUAGUUUGGGAAUAUGAUUAUCAUGUAAUCUACAGUAAAAUAAAACUUGUUAACAUUGUUUUGUUGUUUUGUUGGACUCUUUUGAAGUUAGUUUCGAUAAGUUAGUAUAUAUAUAUAUAUCUAUUAUUUUUUUAGAUAUUUUUUUUAGCAAAAAUUUUUUUUUUAAAUAUUUUUCUUUUGAUUUCUUUGGUAGCUUAUUUUGAGAAAUUGUUUAAAAUAUCAUUAAUUAGAUACUACAUUUAAAGAUGAUUUUGUCAAUGAAUCAUAUAGUGAGAAUGGGACUUGAACAUGUCUUUGCUUGAGUGGUUGCAUAGAAGUUGGUGAGACUGUAUAAGAAGUUUGGUUUCAGGCACGUGAGUAACAGUUGCCUUUCAAGGCGUGGACAAUGUUUGGGAUGGAAACUACAUUAGUUGUUAAUGUGUUUAUUAUUUAGAGAAGGGAUGAAAGGGAGAAGUUGCAUACAUGUUUGUUGUUGCUAAUAUUAUUAGAGCAAGAUGAGUAAACCACUUUUGUUUGAUUCUGCACUUUCCAUAAACAGAUGACUCCCAAAUCCAGUUUUUCAUUGCAUUAGUCUGAUUUGACACCACUGAAAAAAAUUGUUUGCCUCUUGAUCUCACCUAAAAAGAAUCCAUAAAACCUUACUUGAGUGGUCAUCUCCUUUGGCAUCUUCGUACCAGUGUGGAUACUGUAAGCAUAUAAUAAAAUAUCAAAACAACUAUAACAGAUACAUAUCAUUAGCAACAUGAGACAAACUACUUUAAACACUUUAAAAUUAACCUGCGAUUUAUAAUUCACAAUGCAUGUUAUCGUAAGAGCCAGCUAAUUGUUCUUAAAGGUAAAAUAAAAUGCAACUUUAUUUCAGAAUAAAAUAUGUUGUUAUAGUGUUUUUGAUUAUCAAAAGUUAUGUCAUAAGAGAUCUUACUAUAUGGGGCUUGUGGUCGAAGAAAAUCAUGCAAGUAACUACCACCCAUUUGCUUGACAUUCGUGCUUCUUGUCUGUAGGGCAUCGUCAAUCUCGUAAUAAUCAACGAAAGCUGUCGUGUGUUUCCAGAGAAACCUAAAUCCUCGAUUUCUAAAUUUACUAAACUAUACCUUCAGGUCAUCAUUUGAGACACUCAGGCUUGUUCUGCCCACUCAGAAACUCUUGCAAGGUUUUGCCUGCAAAAACAAAAGGUCCAUCAGAAAGUGUCACGAUAAUAUCAUUACCAAGAAUAGAGUCAUGAUAACAUAUGAAGCAUCUCAAGGAAUUUAAACACAUACCAAAAAUAAUUUCAAGAACAUUUUCACUAAUUCAUAUCAAUUGCAAUUAAGGGGAACAAAUUUAUUGGUUUGAGAAUAUGAGGCUGUACCUUAUCGUCAAGGAAGAGCAGCUCAAUGCCAAUGAGCGUCCCAAAUUUCACUGGAAACUGCCGAUGGAACCAUGAAGGUUGAUUUUGAAGCCAUAAAAUCUGGAAUCUUUUUUGCUGGCCUAUGGAGUAGUGCAAGAUCGAUAACCCGAGGAAUAUAUAUAUAUAUAUUGCUGGGGAAAUCGAAGGGGCAUCUGACAUUGGAAUGUUUAAUUAUUAAAUAAGGUUUUCAGGAAUCUAAGUGGUCAUUACGGAGCUGCUGAACGGUUGUCUUUAAGGUUUUUGGAUUGUCUUUAGGAGCUAUACUGGAAACGUUAGAGAAAUGAAUAGAUACAGAUUUAAUGGGGUUAGAUGAUGACAUGUAAAUCUUGAUGAUGUGGCACUUUUAUUGGAUAUAAAUAUUUUGGUUGAUGUGGCAUAGUCUAUGAGUCUCAAAUUUAGUACCUUUUAUAUAGUAGGAUUAUUAGUACUAGAUCGUUUUUCCGCGCUACGCGCGGAUAAUAUACUUUUAAUUUUUUUUUCAUAUUUUUUUCACAUGUAAAUUAUUAUCUUAAUUUUAGUUUAAGUUUUUUUAUUUAAUCAAUUGCAACUUACUAUUUUUACUUUUAUGGUAAAUAUUUUGUAUAAAUGAGGAAAUUUAGUUUUAAAAUUUUAUUUAUCGUUUUAAAAUUUUAUUUAUAUUAAUCUCAAAUAAGUUUCAAUGAUAUGAAAUGAAAAAGAGUAACCUGACGGUCAUUAGGCGCUAGUUGGAUCCUCUCGAGGCUCAGAACAAACAAAUUUGUUCAAUAAUGCACCUGCAUUUAUUAUUAUUGUUUUACGUAAAUUUUAUAAAAUUGAUGAUUGAUAACUGUUUUAGAACUGAAACUGUUUAAAAUUUAUCUAUGCAUUAUUAAAUAGUAAAAAUAUUAAAUUAUAAAAUAAUAUUAAUAUUAAUUAGAAGUGACGUAAAAAUACUAUUAUUAGUGACCAAUAAUUUAAUUAUAAAAAAAUUAUUGAUCCGUACUUUGAUAUUUCUUAGAAAUAUUAUUUAUUCACCAACCAAUAAAAGUCUGCAAGCUCAUAUUCAGUAGUUGAAAAAAAAGAAACAAAAUAAUAGAAUUUGCCAAAUUAUAUCAUAUAUUUUUUUAAGUAAAAAUAAAUAAAAAAUAGUACAAACCUUUUCUAACAUUGUUAACGCCGUCAUCAAAACAAUAAACCUUAAAUCCUAAACAUUAAACCCUAAAAACUAAACCUUAAAUUUUUAGGUAAAUCCUAAACUUUUGGGUAAACUCUAAAUCCUUGGGUAAAUCCUAAAUCCUUGGGUAAACUCUAAACCCUUAGGUAAAUCCUAAACUAUAGGGUAAAUCCUAAACCCUAGGGUUUAGGGCUAAGUUUUAGAGUUUUGCUGACGGCGUUUAGAAUUUAGUGUUUAGGAUUUAUUGUUUAGUUUUUACGAUUUAGUAUUUAUGAUUUACCCAAAGGUUUAGGGUUUAAUGGUUAGAUUUUAGGGUUUAGUGUAAUUUUACUGACAGCGUUAAUAAUGUUUUAAAAAAACUCAUUUUUUGCAGCUUGUACUAUUUUUUUAAAAAAAAAUUUUACUUUUUAUUUUAUUUUAAAAACAAAAUAUGACUUAGCAAAUUUUUGUUAUUUUGCUUUUUCUAAAAAAAAAAAUAUGAUAUGACAGGCUCUAGGGUAAACAAAAAAAAAACUCUUCUUAGAGUGUAUAAAUGUUGUUUUUGUAAAUUUGUUCUAAUAGAAUUUUGAUAACAUUAUAGUAAAUAAGUCUUAUGUGGCUUUGGACUUCUGUAAAUUGAAAUACAAUUAUAUAUGGAUAAACUUUUUUCUAAUUAAUUACAACGCAUAAUAGUGUAUGAACCAAAAUUUCUUUUGAAAAUAUAAAUUUAAAUAUAUGGAAGGAAAAAACAUUAGAAGCUGCAAUCAGACAAGAACAUCCUUUUUUAGAAUUUUUGGAGAAACAAAUGUAUGUUAUGAUUUCUGAGAGAAUUUUAAUUUUAGCUUUUACCCCAAAUUUGAUAUCAUUAUUUAAAUUUAUCUUUAAGAUAUAACUAUUUUCAUAAAUGCUUUAAAUUUCUGAAAAAAAUAAAACUGACAUUAUAAAUCAUUUAAAAAUGUAUAAAAUCAUUUAUAAAAUAUUUUUAAAGGUUCAUAAAUUCAAACCCAAUCCAUAAAUAAUAUACUAAGGCAGCAUAAAACAAAAACUGAUAAUAUAUUUUUGUCAGCCGUGACCAUGACUGGAGCAACAUCAGGACCACGACUAUUUCUCUCUGUAUCUUCAAUAGUGCUCUGGAAUCGUUUAUCCUCAAAGAUGACGUUAUUGUCAUCAGAAACAUAGCUUGUGUGUGAACGCGAUGAAGCCAAGCUUGACUGUUUCUUGAGCUGAACAGCUAUCGUUGACAUCAUCUUUAAUUGGCUGCUGCUUUGCUCUGCCUAUUUUAGCAAAGGAAUCAUUCUGCCUCAUCUCCAAUGAGUUAUCUCGAGAAUGACCUUUCUUCCAUGAAGCAUGUUAUGAUUGUUCAUCAACAUUUUUCUUAGAAAGCUCUGCCCUGGUAGUAGAUUGAUCUUCUUCUUCCCUGCAACUGCUUCUUGGCAUUUCUUCUUUAACAAAACCUCCGCUUUGCACAUUUGAUCUACUAUGUCUAUGUGAAGGUUCAUUUCUUAUAUUAUCAUAAGAGGAUGAGUUCGGCGACUCUGUGAAACUCUGCAUCGUCAUCCUCAUCCUUUCUUUGCUUGAAAGCUCAGCAGCUGCACGUGCAGCAAAACUUAACUCGCUCUUUCAGCAGACUUCUAUAUAUUAUAAUUUUGUAAUCAUUAAUUUGUAUUUGUUUAUAAAAAAAAUUUAAACCAUGGAUCAUAAAAUUUGAAUGUUAGAUUUUUUACAGUUUUAAUAAUUUAUAUUCGUUUUUAAAAAUUUAAAAUAUAACAUAUACAGAAAAUUUAUUUUUUAUUAUA